rnacentral:rRNA from 1 species
CCUACGGGAGGCAGCAGUGGGGAAUAUUGGGCAAUGGGCGCAAGCCUGACCCAGCAACGCCGCGUGAAGGAAGAAGGCUUUCGGGUUGUAAACUUCUUUUCUCAGGGACGAAGCAAGUGACGGUACCUGAGGAAGAAGCCACGGCUAACUACGUGCCAGCAGCCGCGGUAAUACGUAGGUGGCAAGCGUUAUCCGGAUUUACUGGGUGUAAAGGGCGAGUAGGCGGGAAAGCAAGUCAGAUGUGAAAACCAUGGGCUCAACCUGUGGCCUGCAUUUGAAACUGUAUUUCUGGAGUACUGGAGAGGCAGACGGAAUUCCGAGUGUAGCGGUGAAAUGCGUAGAUAUUAGGAGGAACACCAGUGGCGAAGGCGGUCUGCUGGACAGCAACUGACGCUGAGGCGCGAAAGCGUGGGGAGCAAACAGGAUUAGAUACCCCAGUAGUC